rnacentral:rRNA from 1 species
CAAGAGUUUGAUCCUGGCUCAGGACGAACGCUGGCGGCGCGCCUAACACAUGCAAGUCGAACGGAGNNNAUUUUGUUGAAGUUUUCGGAUGGAUACGAAGUUAACUUAGUGGCGAACGGGUGAGUAACGCGUGAGUAACCUGCCCCGAAGUGGGGGACAACAGUUGGAAACGACUGCUAAUACCGCAUAAGCCCACGGCACCGCAUGGUGCUGAGGGAAAAGGACUUCGGUUUGCUUCGAGAUGGACUCGCGUCCAAUUAGCUAGUUGGUGAGGUAACGGCCCACCAAGGCGACGAUUGGUAGCCGGACUGAGAGGUUGAACGGCCACAUUGGGACUGAGACACGGCCCAGACUCCUACGGGAGGCAGCAGUGGGGGAUAUUGCACAAUGGGGGAAACCCUGAUGCAGCGACGCCGCGUGGAGGAAGAAGGUUUUCGGAUUGUAAACUCCUGUCGUACGGGGCGAUAAUGACGGUACCGUACAAGAAAGCCACGGCUAACUACGUGCCAGCAGCCGCGGUAAGACGCCUA